GGCCAUACCACCCUGAAUGUGCCCGAUCUUGUCUGAUCUCGGAAGCUAAGCAGGGUCAGGCCUGGUUAGUACUUGGAUGGGA
rnacentral:rRNA from 1 species